UCAAUCAUCAUCCCACCGGGUCCUGCCCGGCGGGGUUGGAGUUGGGUGUUGCCCUUUGGGGCUCGCCUUAAAUGCAUCGGCGGCCUAAAGGCCCAUUGUCCGGCGUGAUACGUUUCGCUGUACGGUGGGUCCGCGGCCUCCUUGAAACCGCCACUUCUUGUGGAAGCAUC
rnacentral:misc_RNA from 1 species